AACGAACGCUGGCGGCGCGUCUUAAACAUGCAAGUCGAACGAUCUGUAGCAAUACAGGGAGUGGCGGACGGGUGAGGAACACGUAGGAAUCUACCUAGAAGAGCGGGACAACCUUGGGAAACCGGGGCUAAUACCGCAUAGUACAGUGAUGUUAAAGGGCUAGCAAUAGUCGCUUCUAGAUGAGCCUGCGGUCUAUCAGCUUGUUGGCGGGUAACGGCCCACCAAGGCUACGACGGAUAGCCGGUCUGAGAGGAUGAUCGGCCACACUGGCACUGAGACACGGGCCUGACUCCUACGGGAGGCAGCAGUUAAGAAUCUUGCGCAAUGGACGAAAGUCUGACGCAGCGACGCCGCGUGAAGGAUGAAGGCUUUCGGGUUGUAAACUUCGGUAGACUGGGAAGAAAAGUAAGUUCGUUGAGGGCUUACAUUGACGGUACCAGUCUGAAGCCCCGGCUAAUUACGUGCCAGCAGCCGCGGUAAU
rnacentral:rRNA from 1 species